rnacentral:sRNA from 1 species
CGCCCGUCACACCAUGAGAGUUGUUAAUACCAGAAGUCGGUAUUCUAACCGCAAGGAGGAAGCCGCCCAAGGUAGGAUUGAUGAUUAGGGUGAAGUCGUAACAAGGUAUCCGUACGAGAACGUGCGGAUGGAUCACCUCCUUUCUAUGGAGUUAAUACUUUAUAGUAAUUAACUAGUUUUAAUGACCGUUAUGUUUAGUUUUCAGAGAUUAGUUUCUCUGACAAUAACAAGUAAAUGUUAUUGGAAUUGUUCUUUGAAAACUGGAUAAUAGACAUCUAGUUAUUUUAAUCACAUGAUUAAAAUAACAAUAAUUCAAAAUUUCUGUUAUUUUUAAAAAAUAACUAAAAUUUCACAGUUAUAUUUGUAAAUGAUUCUCAAAAAACUGAUUUAAAAUCAGGUCAAAUAAUGUAUAAAACUUUGAAGUUACAAAGGGCGUAUGGUGAAUGCCUUGGGAAUAGGAGACGAUGAAGGACGUGACUACCUGCGAUAAGGUUCGGGGAGCUGGAAGUAAGCUUUGAUCCGGACAUGUCCGAAUGGGGAAACCCGGUGAGAUUAAUCUCUCAUCAUCCUAUAAUGAAUAAAUAGUUAUAGUGAAGGUAUACCUAGGGAAUUGAAACAUCUUAGUACCUAGAGGAAAAGAAAGCGAAUGCGAUUCUCUUAGUAGCGGCGAGCGAACGGGGAACAGCCCAAACCAGAUUUAUCUGGGGUUGUAGGACCAUAAUAGUAGAGUUACAAAACUUGUUUAUAGUAGAAAUGGUUGGGAAGCCAUGCCGUAGAGGGUGAUAGCCCCGUAUACGAAAUAGACAAGACUCGAAAUGGAAUCCUGAGUACGGCGAGACACGUGAAAUCUUGUCGGAAUCAACGCGGACCACCGCGUAAGGCUAAAUACUACCUAUUCACCGAUAGUGAACCA